ensembl:lncRNA
UUGUUAUGAACCUGAGCACACACAUACAAAUGAUAGCCAUAAUGUAAAUAAAUACAGCACCUAAAAUAACUGUUAAAAAAGAUUUUUUUUUUUUUAAGUGAAAGAAAUAGUUACCUAACAAAUGAGAGGAACAGCAGUCAGUAGUUACCUGCCAGGUACCUGAGACACAGCAGUCAGUACUUACCUACCAGGUACCGAGACACAGCGGUCAGUAGUUACCUGACAGUUACCCGAGACACAGAAGUCAGUAAUUACCUGAGCCAAAGCAGUCAGUAGUUACAUGUCAGUUACCCGGGACACCGCAGUCAGUACUUACCCGAGACACCGCAGUCAGUAGUUACCCGAGACACCGCAGUCAGUAGUUACCCGAGACACCGCAGUCAAUAGUUACAGUCAACACCGGAGUCAGUAGUUACCCGAGACACCGCAGUCAGUAAUUUCAUGUCAUUUAUCUGAGACACAGCAGUCAGUAGUUACCUGAGACACAGCAGUCAGUAGUUACCUGAGACACAGCAGUCAGUAGUUACCUGAGACACAGCAGUCAGUAGUUACCUGAGACACAGCAGUCAGUAGUUACCUGAGACACAGCAGUCAGUAGUUUAAUGUCAUUUAUCUGAGACACAGCAGUCAGUAGUUAGCUAUCAGUACAUCAAAACAAAACCACGAUAACGAAAACGCACUUUGCCGUUCAGUAAAUUUAACUAUAAUGCAAUUAGCCAGCUAAUACUUAUCCCUUAUACAACAGUUUUUAGAUAAUUAAGUGAACAUAUAUAACGUCAGUCUAAAUACCAACGCAGUUCUACUGCAAAAGCAGAUCCCGAUAACCGGAAGCACUCGGCUACAAUAUGGUUAUAUUUACCAUUUAUAUAAAUGUUAACUCACCGGUUAGCCUGAUAUAUUAGCAAAGCGUGCUACCGUUCUCCUACCCGCUUUGCGACAAGUCCCGCCUCCUGGACUAGGAUUGGCCAAGAUUUCACUAUGACCGUGCGUAUGAACGAUCUAACCAAUCAUAAUACCAGACGGUGGCUACUACUACCCAAUCAUAACACUGGAACGUAAUACAAGUAGGACAGAGAGAACAACAUCAUAACACGCUAGCUUAGGCACAACGCAGGUCCUCGGUAACAAGUAAUUUGCAACGAACACACAGGGUGAACUUUAGAUAAGCCAACAGACGCACUGUCGCAUUGUAAUAAUGUCAAGUGCCUUUCAAACAAAUCAUAUAUAAGCAGAUACCCUUUAAUCCAGCGCACACCCCACUGAUCCGGUACCGAGCUGACAAAAUCUCCCGCCACUUUGGCUCAUUGAGUUUAAUAACUUCCACCGAGCCGAUUUCCGUUUUCCCGGCAAAAUUGCGCAGAACCCAGAGAGCACGCUGAUUGGUCUAAAUCCAGGAAGUGGCUGUUUUACGUGCUUCAACGACCAUAUUGGACGAGUAGGCUUGCAAAAACCCUAACAGUAGCUAGAGGGCAAGCAGACACAUUUAUAAGGGUUUUCUAUUUUUAUGCAAAAAUCUUACAAAUCUAAAGCUAUAAACUGUCAAUACUAAAUUCAUUAAUUUGAAUGCAUUUGGGGAAAUUAAUUUGGGGGACACCUCCAGAGUCGGGGGUUCGAU